rnacentral:rRNA from 1 species
UACAGAGGGUGCAAGCGUUAAUCGGAAUGACUGGGCGUAAAGGGCGUGUAGGCGGUUAUAUAAGUUAGAUGUGAAAUCCCUGGGCUUAACCUAGGAACGCCAUCUAAUACUGUAUAACUAGAGUACAGGAGAGGGAAGUGGAAUUUCAGGUGUAGCGGUGAAAUGCGUAGAUAUCUGAAGGAACACCAGUGGCGAAGGCGGCUUCCUGGCCUGAUACUGACGCUGAGGCGCGAAAGCGUGGGGAGCGAACAGG